AUUGAACGCUGGCGGCAUGCCUUACACAUGCAAGUCGAACGGUAACGGAUCUUCGGAUGCUGACGAGUGGCGAACGGGUGAGUAAUACAUCGGAACGUGCCUAGUAGUGGGGGAUAACUACUCGAAAGAGUGGCUAAUACCGCAUGAGAUCUACGGAUGAAAGCAGGGGAUCGCAAGACCUUGUGCUACUAGAGCGGCCGAUGGCAGAGUAGGUAGUUGGUGGGAUAAAAGCUUACCAAGCCGACGAUCUGUAGCUGGUCUGAGAGGACGAUCAGCCACACUGGGACUGAGACACGGCCCAGACUCCUACGGGAGGCAGCAGUGGGGAAUUUUGGACAAUGGGCGCAAGCCUGAUCCAGCAAUGCCGCGUGCAGGAUGAAGGCCUUCGGGUUGUAAACUGCUUUCGUACGGAACGAAAAGCCCUGGGUUAAUACCCUGGGGUCAUGACGGUACCGUAAGAAUAAGCACCGGCUAACUACGUGCCAGCAGCCGCCGUAAUAC
rnacentral:rRNA from 1 species